GAGAUAUGAUUCAGUGAUAGAGUAUUUGCCUUGCAUGUGCAAAAGUCCUGGGUUCAAUCCCCAGAACUCA
rnacentral:tRNA from 1 species